rnacentral:rRNA from 1 species
GACGAACGCUGGCGGCGUGCUUAACACAUGCAAGUCGAACGGAAAGGCCCUGCUUGCAGGGUACUCGAGUGGCGAACGGGUGAGUAACACGUGGGUGAUCUGCCCUGCACUUCGGGAUAAGCCUGGGAAACUGGGUCUAAUACCGGAUAGGAGCCAUUUUUAGUGUGAUGGUUGGAAAGUUUUUUCGGUGUAGGAUGAGCUCGCGGCCUAUCAGCUUGUUGGUGGGGUAAUGGCCUACCAAGGCGGCGACGGGUAGCCGGCCUGGGAGGGUGGACGGCCACAGUGGGACUGGGACUCAGCCCAGACUCCGACGGGAGGCAGCAGUGGGGAAUAUUGCACAUGGGGCGUAAGCGUGAUGCAGCGCCGCCGCGGGGGGGAGGACGGCCUUCGGGUUGGAAACGCAUUUCGCUAGGGACGAAGCUUUUUGUGACGGUACCUAGAGAAGAAGCACCGGCUAACUACGUG